CCUGGUUGAUCCUGCCAGUAGUCAUAUGCUUGUCUCAAAGAUUAAGCCAUGCAUGUGUAAGCACACACUGUUUUAAAAGUGAAGCCGCGAAUGGCUCAUUACAACAGCCACAGUUUAUUAGAACUUACAAUCAUGGAUAACUGUGGUAAUUCUAGAGCUAAUACACGCACAAAAACUUCAACUGAAUUGGUUGAAGUGCUUUUAUUAGAACAAAAACCGAACGGCGUUUGGCGAAUGUUGAACGUCGAAACUGUUUGGUGAAUCUGAAUAACUAUUUCUGAUCGCAUGGUCUAGCACCGGCGACAUCACUUUCAAGUGUCUGCCUUAUCAACCUUCGAUGGUAGUCUAUGCGACUACCAUGGUGAUAACGGGUAACGGAGAAUCAGGGUUCGACUCCGGAGAGGGAGCCUGAGAAACGGCUACCACAUCCAAGGAGGGCAGCAGGCGCGCAAAUUACCCCACUCCCAGCUUGGGGAGGUAGUGACGAAAAAUAACGAGACGAUUCUCGUUUGAGAAACGUUAUCGAAAUGAGUACGCUUUACACACGCUAACGAGUAGCAAUUGGAGGGCAAGUCUGGUGCCAGCAGCCGCGGUAAUUCCAGCUCCAAUAGCGUAUAUUAAAGUUGCUGCGGUUAAAACGCUCGUAGUUGAAUUGUGGUCUUAGACAACAGUCCCCCUACAUAGGUGUGGCACGGUUGCUCGAGAUCUUCAUUCGUGGUUGCUGUUGUUGCUCUUCAUUGAGUGUCAAUGGUGCCUCGAGAUUUUACUUUGAAAAAAUUAGAGUGCUCAAAGCAGGUUGUGAUGCCUGAAUAAUGGUGCAUGGAAUAAUAGAAUACGAUCUCGGUUCUAUUUUGUUGGUUUCUGAAACUGAGGCCAUGAUUAAGAGGGACGGCCGGGGGCAUUCGUAUUGCGCCGCUAGAGGUGAAAUUCUUGGACCGGCGCAAGACGGACCAGAGCGAAAGCAUUUGCCAAGAAUGUUUUCAUUAAUCAAGAACGAAAGUCGGAGGUUCGAAGGCGAUCAGAUACCGCCCUAGUUCUAACGGUAAACUAUGCCAACCAGCGAUUCGCCGAAGUUCAUUUAAGACCCGGCGGGCAGCCUCCGGGGAACCAAAGUGUUUCGGUUCCGGGGGAAGUUUGUCUGCAAAGCUGAAACUUAAAGGAAUUGACGGAAGGGCACCACCAGGAGUGGAGCCUGCGGCUUAAUUUGACACAACACGGGAAAACUCACCCGGCCCGGACACUGGAAGGAUUGACAGAUUGACAGCUCUUUCUUGAUUCAGUGGGUAGUGGUGCAUGGCCGUUCUUAGUUGGUGGAGCG
rnacentral:rRNA from 1 species